rnacentral:misc_RNA from 1 species
AACUUUCAACAAUGGAUCUCUCGGGUGAAGAGAUCCAUAUCGCGCGUGAUCUGCGCCGCCAUCGGCCCAGGCGUACCGGUGCCGGGCUUAAAGCCCAUCGCGUUGAAGGCGCUCACGGCGGCGUCCGAUUUUAGUCCGGCACUGAGCGCUUCGCUCAGUUUCGCCACCGCGGCCGGCGGCGCGCCCUUCGGCAUCAUCAAUCCGUUCCAGCCCGAAAUGACCAUGUCCCGCAGACCCAGCUCAUUGAGCGGUUUGAGCCCGGGGAGAUUGAACCACGGCUCGUCCGACGUGACGCCGAGCCCGACCACCUGACCGCCGUCGAUGUGCGGCUUCGCGCUCGUGAGAAACAUCAAGUCGAUGCGUCCCGCGAUCAAAUCGAGAAUGGCGGGUGCUUCGCCGCGAUACGGCACAUGCGUGAGUUCGAUACCGGCGGAAGAUUUAAGCAUAUCAAUAAGCGGAGGCU